CACUCGCUUCUGUUCAUGAAGUUUGGCAGCCACGUGGUCGAAGUGUCAAUCAAAACUGCACCAAGUGUCCUUUCAACUUGCCAGAAUCGCGAAUGCAUGCAAUUUACUGGAACUAAGAAAUGGAAUUAUUCAAAUUUAAUUCCUUGGGCUGUUCAAUCGUGAAAUAGAGCGUGGCAAAUCAUGUGAAAAAAGGUGGCGUUUGGUUCAGGAACUAAAGCUUCACUGUCCGGAAGAAGACUGAAGCAGCCGCUUCUUUCGAGAUCGAUGACAAAAGCUGUGCAGUUGGUUUUACGGCAUCUGAAUGGCAAUUGGACAUAACGAUCGAUUAACCAAUCGAUUACCCAACGUAUACAAUUCUUUAAACUGAGCUGGGAUAAACAAUUACCGAUCGAAGCAUCUCUCGACAAUUCCUUCAGAGUCGAUUCCCGUGUAAAGUAUAAAAUUGGAUUGUCCAGUCUCGGGCCUCAUGCCAGGCAAUUUCUCCCACACGAAAUUCUGACAGCCCAAGGAAACUCCUGGAAGCAGGAAAUCAUCGGUAUUUUCUUAUCCUUGUCUCCAUUAAAAAUAUUGCCUGCCGGCACAAACGUAAAUGCGACAAAUCAAGCGAUUCGUUUACCACGCAACAUGCUUAUCACGCUGGCGUGACGCACCAGAAGCGACCAUGAGUUUGGCGCACUUACGCAGAAAGUCAAUUGUGGCGGCCGACAGUGCAGCGAUAAGUAAACGUGAUAAGAGGUCGCAAAAAGCAGGUCGAUAGUAGAAGGAUUGAAUUGAAAGAAAAAAAAAGUUAGACAGGACGAUUAAUCUUAAGAAGCACUACCUGUGUCAAUGGCACUGCCGACCAGAAGGAAACCAAACCACCAGAUUGUUCUUCUUAUAUUUUUGUGAAAUUCCAUCUUGUUUACUGGGUUUUUUACACUUUUUUUUUUAAAUCACUGAAAUUAUUUUUUUUUUUACAAGAAGAAAGUGAUACCUACUCUCACUGCACCCUCGCGAACAUUUUUUUGACUUUUCUACCGAUUGUUCCUCACUUGCCGAUUCGUUUGGAUCCACCGUUUCCCGAGACUCGCAACAUUAUCGAUAAGCACUUACAAAAGUGUUGGUGCGCUUCUCUGCGACCUUACGCAAUUCCAGGUACCACGUGGAACUCGUGAGAAAAUUCGUGGAAGUCAGCGAUGCAGUCAUCGCGGCGUCAUCAAUUCGUGAGAUUCUAUAUGCAUUUGUAAUUGCAACGAGUCACUUAUAAUUAUCAAUAAUUGUCAUAAUGCACUUUCAAAUAGUCAUUAUUUUCUUUGAAAAAAAACGCUCACUUUUUUCUUUCGGUUACACGUAUCUUAUGUAACAAAUUUAUGGACAGUCCUUGAAUAAUGUUGAAUAAUUAAUAAUUAAGUUUGAACUAAAUUACAUUUUUUGUACAGCACCUUUUUCCUUGCCCCGAUCAACGGCGAUAAUUGAAUUUUGAUACGAGUGACGAUACAAAUCAAAAGGGCCAGAAGACUGCGUUUAAAUCUGUAAAUCGUUUGAUGGAAACGACGGCAAAGUGAAUUCGGUCGAAACAGAAAGUAAUCCGUGAUGCGACUGACGAGUCGCGGGAUGCGGGCAAAAGUCUAUAUAUUCGCUGGAAUCGUAAAGGGGAGUCUCCACGACUAGAGAAAUAAAACGCAGCUGUGUCGCCACACGCAGCCUGCACGCACCAACGCACACGCACCUGUGACACUAAAUCCCGCAAAAGAGAAUCGUCCGCAUUGACUCUCCGUUCCUCCCACUUAUGGUUAUACACGGUAUGGUACCGGUGCCAAAUACCGAGAGCAACAAUGACCCUGUUCUGACAUCAUCGGAAAUCAUUGAAUUGAAUUCGACAAUCGAGACGUUUUGCAUUACACUUGUUGCCGCCGAUGACGGACACGCCUUGAAUUUCAAAAGGAAAAGUAUUUCCUUCUUAUGGAAAUUAGCCAGCCACUUAGCAAUUAGCAUGCGUGCGAUCUUCGAAAAUGCCAUCGUACGUAAGGAGUGUCUGUUAAAGAAUUUUUGAAAAAAAAAUCGAAAGUGAGAGGUAAAAAAAAUUCAAGUGAAAUUCGAAAUUGUACGUUUCCGUGUAUUAAGGUCAAAGUAUAAAAAAGCGGUGACGUAAUCGUCAAGUUAUAAUGCGAUUAAUGGAAUUGGCUAAUACGAAGAAUAUAUCCGCGAUGAUUAAAAGUCAUUGUACGCUUAGUGAUUUCUUUGAAAUUAUUCCGACCUCGAAGGAGCCGCCAUUCAGCAGUAGCAACUACAAGGAUAGGUUACAGUAUGGGUAUAAUGUACCUUUCGACUAAUUGUUCCCCAGCGUAAUGAAGAGUAUAAUACACUGUUAAUACUCAUUACUCGUUACAAAGCCAAUGGCCUAAUGAACGACAUAGGAUCGAAUGACGUAAGACAUUUCGAUGACUACCCCGGGAGUCGUUCGUCCGGGGAAAGUAAAUUGCAGGUAUCUUCCAUUCGAUAUAUACCUAUAGGGGAGAAACUCUUAGCUUUCCUUCGCUGAGUGAACACAAAUGUCCUCUUUGCUUAGCGUUUCCGUUUUUUCAUGGUCACCAUUUUAAUCCUUUUAUUUUCACCUGAUUAUCCGUUUUAUUUUUUUCCACGUGCCCAAGUCACCGAAAAUCCGCAAUAGUGACAAUGUACGUCUGUCAUGGCGUUUGGAAUUUCACAUGGAAUUUUGACAGUUGGAUCUGAGAAUUGAAUGUUGAAAAAAAAAGAUUUGGCUACCGGGCUUCAAUUUCGAUUUCCCCUUGUAUGUCGUCAUUACGAAAUGGAAGAUUAACUUUGUUUUUGCGCAAUUCCAUGCCGUAAUACUUUGCCCACGAAUAACACUGAAGACUGCCAUUACAGAGUAGUCCAGUAGGAACUGUAUUCCGUAUUGUAGUUUCUGUAUGGUAAUUGCGUUAUGCCAGCGAAACCAUAAGCAUUCGUUUGCACGCUUGACAGAGCCUGAAAUAAAUUCCUAACUUUUCCAAAA